GGGGCUCCGACCUCUGGGGCCGCAGCCGUAGCGCUGCCGGCAGCGCCCCCUGCCGGCGCCAGCAGAAAACGCUCCUCCCCCGGUACCGGCACCGGCUGCACCUCCGGGGCUCGGGGGGAGCCUGCGCGGGGCGGCCCGGCUCGGUGCGGGGUCCCGGCCCCCGCCAGCGCCCGGCCCUGCUCCUGCAUAACGUGUUAAGAUACUGUUUUUGCAGUCCGCCAUUAACCGACCGCGACUGUCCGAACGAGAUAACAAGAUGGCGGUCAAGGCGGGAAACUCUGUCAGGAGCCGGGUUAGCGGGUACAGCGCGCAACGAGCCCCCGGCCGUGCACACACCGCAACGUACCGGGCUGGGCACGCAGCGGAGCGAGCUCUCGAGUGGGAGCGGAGGGAGCUGCGGACAGGGGCGGGACUCCACGGGGGGUGUGCGGGCGCCCCGGAUAGGCUCGAGCCUGGGAGCACCCAACCAGUGGGGAACAAGGGAGGGACUUUGCGGGAUAAAGGGAAGAACUUUGUAGUCGUUGGGUGUGUUUACUUACCAGGACACCCGUUUUUGCAAAUGCAUUUAAUAAAUCGCUGCUUCGCUGCUGUGUCUGACCUGAGUGUUUGCAAGAGUGUUUGAGUUCUGACAGCUCGUUGGGGGUGAAGUUGUCAUCGAGGGGACCUCCGCCGCCGAAGGACGGUGGGACGCGUCCCAUUGGUUCCAACGCAGCUUCUGCAGCUGCUGACCUGAGACCGUUUGUAUAAGGUGGACCCGGUGAACCAGAGGGGAAAAAGAGAAGGAAAAAGUAGUUUUUCCAUCUGUCAGUGACCAGCCAACUCCGUGCACGGACCAAGAAACAAAGGACUCCGCGCUCAAACGCCACCCUUGGAAUUCACGGUCCAUUCCAUUCAACCAGGGGACCGGAUACUGAUCAAGUCAUGGAAGGACUUUAAACUACAGCCUGGAUGGGACGGCCCGUUACCGGUCUUGUUGACCACUGACACUGCUGUGAGGACUGCCAAAAGAGGUUGGACACACUCUGUGAGGAUCAAAGGACCGGUGGAACUCCCAGCUGAAGACGGGCAGUGGCGUGACAACCAACUGAGAACCUCCUGUAUAUUAAGAUAAAGAGACAAUAAGCAUUCACUCUUGCUUCCAAACACUUGCAAGAACCUUUAUAAGAUUAUUUUGUACUUUUGCUGUAUUUGCUGUGCUGAAAACAUAGGGUUUGGGGAUAAAAGAGAAGGGGGGGGCUGAUUAGCAAAAAACCUAAAAAUGUGGAAGGUCAUAGUGCUAAUGAACUUAUAUCUAUUAGGAAUUGAAGGCAAAAGUUUGGAACAAGAAGCCUAUGUUGAGCAAAUGAGAGGGUUGCUGGGAUAUCCAGUCAAAUUGUGGAUAAAUAUUACUAAGGCACACAAUCCGCAAACUAUCCAAUUUGACGCCUGUCAGGUACUCACGUGUGGAGAUCUAAAAGAGCAAAGGAAGUUAAGCAGUCACGAUAAAUACUUAUGCCCAGAGUAUUACCUCCAACCAUACUGGGGACCGCCUUGUCCCGGGUGGAGUGAUGUUUGGUUUACAACUGCCUUUAAUGGGUGGGUCUCACCCAGUGCUCGGGGGAAAUCUCUAAAAAGUAAAAUUGCAAUGUUUAAAGGUCACGUGGAACCUGACUGUAAGGAUUUAGAAUGCAAUCCCAUAAUACUUACCAUUACAAAUGCUGAUGGGGAAGUAAGCCAAACUUACGGCCUAGGGGCGGAUGUCACAGGAAAAGAUCCGCUUGCUCGAUUUAGGAUCGUAGUUUGGGAACCAAAGAGAAAUGAACAUACCCAAACUCCAGGCACUACCGUUCCUCCAGCAGCAGAAGCAGGGACUCCACCAAAUACUCGUAAGGUAGAAAAGGUGAAAGAUUUGAAGCGCCCAUCUGAAACAGAAGCAGGAUAUGGAGAUACCAAUACCGGGGUAGAACUGAUCAAAUAUAGAGUGAAAAGCUUAAAUAGAAGCAAUUGUGAUGCAUGCGCUUCGGGGCGACCUACAGCACAGGUAGUCCCUUUUCCUUUAGGAUGGAGUAAGGAUGCACAAGGAAUGAGGUGUAUGAUCGCAUUGUACCAGGAAAGGACUGCAUGGGGAAGCGAAGCCUGUAAGUCCCUUUCUCUGCUGUUCCCUGCACUACGGAAGAAGGAUAUCAAGGUACCCCCCACCUUCUCCGUGGCAGCUGGUAACCAUACAGCUUGUCUCUCACGGCAGGGUGUGGGUGCUACCAAAGAUCUCGGACAGCUGGAGAUGUGCACGGAAUUGCUAAACGUGGCUGAGGAGGAAACGGGUAAUUACUCAGCUCUGAGCAUCCCCAGAACGGACCUGUGGUGGUAUUGUGGAGGGAGAGUCUUGAGACCCACGCUUCCUCCAAAUUGGAAAGGCACGUGUGCGAUUGUCCAGUUGGCCAUUCCGUUUACUUUGGCAUUUGAGAAGGGAACAGUACCUUAAAAUUUAUGCGAAAAGCAAAUAUUCAAACAAAAAGGGUGAAUUGUAAAAAGUAUUAAGAUGCUGUUUUUGCCAUCGGCCAUUAACCAAACGUAGCUGUCAGAACACGAUGGCAAGGCGGGAAGCUCUGGCAGGAGCUGGGUUUGUGGUUACAGCUCAUAACAAGUUCAGCAAUGUGCAGAAACCAUAACAUAAAAGGAGGUUAGCAAAGAAGGGGAGCAGGCUCUCGAAUUAGAGUAGGGGGAGAUGCAGAGAGGGGCAGGACUUCACGUGGGAUGUUGGAUAGUACCCAACCAGUGGGAAACAAGGGAGGAACUUUGCAGUCGCGGAUAGGGAAUAAAGGGAAGAACUUUGUAGCCAUUGGGUGUGUUUACUUACCAGGACACCUGUUUUUGCAAAAGCAUUUAAUAAAUCGCUGCUUCACUGCUGUG